CUAUGGAAACCACGCUUUGGCGACAAGCGGCAGGCCGCCCUUGAUCCGCACAGCGAUGCCGUUCACCUCGCUCAUGUCCAGCAGCGUCCCUGGCACGUUCCCGCCGGCGGGAUCCCAAUCAAAGCGAUGCAGCAAGCUCGCGAUCGCCAUUUCGAGAGUCGACAUGGCGAACCCGAUCCCCGGGCACCCUCUCCUCCCGGCACCGAACGGCAGCAGCUCGAAGUCCUGGCCCCUGAAGUCCACGCUGCUGUCCAAGAACCUCUCCGGCCAGAACUCAUCGGGGCGCUCCCACGUCGCCGGGUCCCGGCCGAUGGCCCACGAGUUGAUCACGACCUGCGUCCGCGCCGGGACGUGGUGGCCGAGUAUCUCGGCAUCCGCGGGUGGCUCCCGGGGCACCAGGAGCGGAACCGGCGGGUGCAGCCGGAGAGUCUCCUUGACCACGGCCUUCAGGUAGCCUACCUUGUCGACGUGGUCCUCGGUGACGUGGUCGGCGCCGCCCACGGCCGCUCGGAUCUCGUCCUGGAGCUUGCGCAUCGCGCGCGGGUGGGUGAUGAGCUCCGCCAUGGUCCAUUCCAUCGCCGUGGUCGUGGUGGAGGUGCCGCCCGCGAACAU
rnacentral:rRNA from 1 species